AGUAGAGAGAAUAGAUGCUGUGAGUAUAUCUGUUGCAUUUAUAUCACAGUGGCUGUUCUUUUUGUA
ncrna:Drosophila mojavensis microRNA dmo-mir-6 precursor (dmo-mir-6-1)